ACACGCGUCCUUGGAUCCUGACU
rnacentral:miRNA from 1 species